GUAGGUGGCAAGCGUUGUCCGGAAUUAUUGGGCGUAAAGCGCGCGCAGGCGGUUCUUUAAGUCUGAUGUGAAAGCCCACGGCUCAACCGUGGAGGGUCAUUGGAAACUGGAGAACUCGAGUACAGAAGAGGAAAGCGGAAUUCCACGUGUAGCGGUGAAAUGCGUAGAGAUGUGGAGGAACACCAGUGGCGAAGGCGGCUUUCUGGUCUGUAACUGACGCUGAGGCGCGAAAGCGUGGGGAGCAAACAGGAUUAGAUACCCUGGUAGUCCACGCCGUAAACGAUGAGUGCUAAGUGUUAGGGGGGUUUUCCGCCCCCCUUAGUGCUGCAGCUAACGCAUUAAGCACUCCGCCUGGGAGUACGGCCGCAAGGCUG
rnacentral:rRNA from 1 species